CGAAAUGCGAUAAGUAAUGUGAAUUGCAGAAUUCAGUGAAUCAUCGAAUCUUUGAACGCACAUUGCGCCCGCCAGUAUUCUGGCGGGCAUGCCUGUUCGAGCGUCAUUACAACCCUCAGGCCCCCGGGCCUGGAGUUGGGGAUCGGCGGAAGCCCCCUGCGGGCACAACGCCGUCCCCCAAAUACAGUGGCGGUCCCGCCGCAGCUUCCAUUGCGUAGUAGCUAACACCUCGCAACUGGAGAGCGGCGCGGCCACGCCGUAAAACACCCAACUUCUGAAUGUUGACCUCGAAUCAGGUAGGAAUACCCGCUGAACUUAAGC
rnacentral:misc_RNA from 1 species